ensembl:rRNA 5S_rRNA 5S ribosomal RNA
GCUUACGGCCAUACCACCUUAGGGACGCCCGAUCUCGUCUGAUCUCGGUAGCUAAGCAGGGACGGGCCUGGUUAGUACUUGGAUGGGUGACCGCCUGGGAAUACCAGGUGCUGUAAGCA